rnacentral:rRNA from 1 species
AGCUUGCUCCCGGAUGUUAGCGGCGGACGGGUGAGUAACACGUGGGUAACCUGCCUGUAAGACUGGGAUAACUCCGGGAAACCGGAGCUAAUACCGGAUAGUUCCUUGAACCGCAUGGUUCAAGGAUGAAAGACGGUUUCGGCUGUCACUUACAGAUGGACCCGCGGCGCAUUAGCUAGUUGGUGAGGUAACGGCUCACCAAGGCGACGAUGCGUAGCCGACCUGAGAGGGUGAUCGGCCACACUGGGACUGAGACACGGCCCAGACUCCUACGGGAGGCAGCAGUAGGGAAUCUUCCGCAAUGGACGAAAGUCUGACGGAGCAACGCCGCGUGAGUGAUGAAGGUUUUCGGAUCGUAAAGCUCUGUUGUUAGGGAAGAACAAGUGCAAGAGUAACUGCUUGCACCUUGACGGUACCUAACCAGAAAGCCACGGCUAACUACGUGCCAGCAGCCGCGGUAAUACGUAGGUGGCAAGCGUUGUCCGGAAUUAUUGGGCGUAAAGGGCUCGCAGGCGGUUUCUUAAGUCUGAUGUGAAAGCCCCCGGCUCAACCGGGGAGGGUCAUUGGAAACUGGGAAACUUGAGUGCAGAAGAGGAGAGUGGAAUUCCACGUGUAGCGGU